CUCUUCCGGUCUUCUCCCUGUCUACUGAGACAAGAAAAGCUGCACUGAUACAGGUAGAAGCCAUGAAAGCUAUCGCAACUCCAUCGGAACGAGCAAUAAUCGACGAAAUUUCGUUGACAAUUGAGAUGCAAUCAAACAACCACCC